rnacentral:lncRNA from 1 species
UUCUGCUCUAUAACUGGAAAGUUUGGUUCAUUUUGCAUACGUGCCGCUGAAAGCUUCAGGACUGUGAGAAUUUCCUUUCUGUGCAUCAAGAAAAAAUGACUUGCUCUUUGUCAGGGGGAUAGUAUAUUAUGGGUUGCAGUCAAACUUCAUUGUGCUCAGACUGGUGAAAAUAGGAAUUGGGCUUUUGCAUUUUAAAGAAGGUACUAGGCUUUUGCAUUUUAAAGAAGAUAGUUUUCUUUCUAAUUCUCUCAUCUACUUAUUACCUACUUAAAGGAUAAUUUUAGAUCCCCCUGCAUAAAGUUUCUUCCUUUUUUUUUUUUUUUUUUUUUUUUGUUUUUUAAUGCUACAACUUAUUCCAGUCUGUAAUCUCUGGAAUUUUUUGCUCUUUAGAAUUUGGAAGUUAACUAGCAUUUUUCAAGCCUUUAUUAUAUACCCUUGUCUUUUAUACUAACGUUUAUUUAUUAUUCUUUAGGUAAGAAUGAUUGAUGUUGGCUGAUUUUGGAGUCUUAUUUACUUGAGGCGGAAUUAGAUGUUCUCAAGACAGCACACAACAUGGGUCAGCUAAAAAGGAAAGCCACAAAUUACUUAGACUGACAAAGACUCUAGGUAAGUGAAAUGAUAUUCAAAUUAAUUUGGUGACACAAUCGGGUGUCACCAAACUUGGUGUGUAUGUCAAUUUAAGAAUUGACGAAGGGCGUCAUGAAAGAUGUCAGGCAUACACAAGCCAAGAUAGCUGAGAUAUUCCUGAUCCAGCACUCUAACUUGAAGCUCAUGCUAUAAAGCUGUCACUAAUUACCAGUCCUUGAUUUAACAUGGUGGUAUUAGAGCUUAGUAAGCUACACUUGGAAGUUUUGAUAAGUUGGAUUAAUCAUAUUUUUUAAUUAACAGGAUCAAGUGAGCUGUAUCAGAAAAUGAGUCAAGACGAAAGAGGAAUGAAUUUGACAUUAAUAAAGUAAUUUAUUUUUAAAAAUCUUUCAGGUUCCAUCAGUUUAUUUACCAGUUCCUGCUCAACAGCUAUCAGAGCCAGGCUACUAAGUUUCUCUUGUCCCAUGGUACGAAGUAAGUAUGUUUUAAGAUGAGACAGCGUGGAAAAUGACUUCUCAUUAUUUGCUGAAGUAAUUGGCCAAGAUAAAGCAAUAUGCAACAGCUUCGUGAUACAAGGAAUAUUAUUGUGGAGAGCAUGCUGAAUAAACAAAGAGCCUAGGUCAAUGAAGCUUAAGGACCCAUCCUCUGCGAUGAAGUUGAAACCUGCAUACUGCCGGUAAAAUCGGAGCUCGGGAAUGAUGUCUGCAUCAAGCUUAUAGAAUUCCUGGAUGUGCUUGGCUGUUGCUUCAUUUAAUGGCUCAUUCCACUUAAGUAACAGCUCUGAAAUUUGUUUCAUUUUACAAUAGUCAAACUCUGAAAAAUAUAACUUUAAAUGUUUUAAUACCGUGUCCAGACCUUGGUAGUAAAUAUUAAAUUUAUAUUGUUCAUCUGCUGAAGUAGGAAAAAACAUAUGCUCUGAGUUGCCAGGAUCUACUGUUCUUUGAACUUUUCUUCUUUUUUGAAAAGAGGGUUUCUCAACAUCAAAACCCUUACUGGUUAUCUUUUUACAUAUUUCAUCUGCUCCAUCCCAGAUAUUUUUAAAGUAUGUAUCAUUCCUUUCAGAAGAUAAACAUUCCAAAAUUGCUUCUAUUUUUGAAAACAAAGAAAAGAUGUCAACAGUUUCACUUUGAAACUCUCUAGAAAGAAUCCCUGUGAUACUGAGUACUCGAUAAAGAAAUUUCAAACAAAAUAUAAAUUCAAACUUGGUAACCAUGGCCAACAGGUCCUCCAGCUCGGCAGCCACAGCUGUGCCUGCGCACCGGCGUGACACUGACGCCAGCACCUCAACGACCUCCGGAAGGCAGUCCGUCACGGCCAGCAGCAAAUGGUCGUGGGCUGGCCAACACGACUGUGACGUGUGUUUCUUACAAGUUUUAUUUAGACUUAGCUUACACAUGGUUUGCAAACUUGCCAACAUUUCUUCAGACACAUGAACUGUGUUGAACAAAGAGCAGAGAGUGUGUAGUGCCUCGCGGAGCUCCUUCACCUCCUUACAGAAGCUAAUCACCGCUAACUCCAAAAAAUGGGCGUGACAAUGCACAUAGAGAGCUCUUGGCUCUUCCUUCUUGAAUUCUGCUACAACUUCAUUCAAUUUUACCGUAAAAUUUGUGGCACUAUCAUAGGCUUGGCCACAUAUUUUAUUAAAAUCAACUCCAACCUGCUGCAGGUAAGCUUUGAUCCGCCCAUGCACGUGGACCCCAGUCACCUCCUCGGCAGUCACAAACCCCAGGAACCUUUCCUUAACCAAGACAGCACUUGGCGUCUUUUGUGGGUACCUCACACACACGGAAAGCUGUCUCUCAGCGGCACUACCAGCUAUCUCCUCGCAGAUUAUUGAAAAGGCUGAGGAGGCGUUGAUCUCACUCACGAUGUCUUGCAACAUUUCAUCCUUUAUCAUUUCAAUAAUCUCCUCCUGGACAAGCGUGCUGCUAUAGAAGUCCACGUGGGAACUCAUGAGCUGAAAUACCUCUCCUCUAUCUCUUGCUCUAAGUUCUAGCAAUUCCAAAAAACUGCCUUUAUUCAUGGGUGAAACAGACUGGUCAUUUCCUUUUAACAGCAAGCACUGUUUUCCAAGAAAUAAAAUGUUCUCAAUGAU